AGUGAACGCUGGCGGCGUGCUUAACACAUGCAAGUCGAACGAGAACGGGUUAUAGCUUGCUAUAAUUGUCAGCUAAGUGGCGCACGGGUGAGUAAUGUAUAGGUAAUAUGCCUCUUACUAAGGGAUAACAAAUGGAAACGUUUGCUAAUACCUUAUACUCCUUAUUAACAGAAGUUAAUAAGGGAAAGAUUUAUUGGUAAGAGAUUAGCCUGUAUUGUAUCAGUUAGUUGGUGGGGUAAUGGCUUACCAAGACUAUGACACAUAACUGGUUUGAGAGGAUGAUCAGUCACACUGGAACUGAGACACGGUCCAGACUCCUACGGGAGGCAGCAGUGGGGAAUAUUGCACAAUGGACGAAAGUCUGAUGCAGCAACGCCGCGUGAGGAUGACACAUUUCGGUGCGUAAACUCCUUUUAUAUGAGAAGAUAAUGGCGGUAUUAUAUGAAUAAGCACCGGCUAACUCCGUGCCAGCCGCCGCGGUAA
rnacentral:rRNA from 1 species